ensembl:miRNA MIR143 microRNA 143
GUCCUCAGGCCCAAGGUGCAGUGCUGCAUCUCUGGUCAACUGGGAGUCUGAGAUGAAGCACUGUAGCUCGGGAGGAAGGGCA